CUGCAAGCCUCCAGUGUGCCUGGGCCUGGGGUGGCCCUGUGCAUUCCUACAGUGCUUGCAAGAACAUUGGGAAACGGUGUGAGGCCUUGCCCUGCUGCAUCCAGAGCCAGGUUAUAGAAAUUUCGAACAGUU
rnacentral:snoRNA from 1 species